GGAGAGGGGAAAAGCCUAAAACCAUAAUACCACAUUUUUAAGGUGGAGUGAACAUGGUUUGGCUGGAGCAUUGUAAAGUGCGUAGUUCAUCCCCCAUCUGACUGUAUACUGCAACAGCAGAGCCAGCCACUCUGACAGAACUGAACAUCAGUGGGAUACAGACUGCCAGCUGAGCCCUCACCUGUCAGCUCCUCUCCUGGUGAGAGUGAGGGGGGACACGUUAUCCUGCUGAAAGAGGCCACUGCCAUCAGAGAAUACUGUUUCCAUGACAGGGUGUCCAUGAUCUGCAACAAUGUUUGGGUAGGUGGUGCGUGUCAAAUAUCUCCAAGAAUGGCAGGACCCAAGGUUUCCUGCAGAACACUGCCCAAAGCAUCACACUGCCUCACCCAGCUUGCCUUCUUCCUGGUGCCAUGUGUCCCCCAGGUAAGCGAAGCACAAGCACCCGACUAUCUAAGUAAUAUAAAAGAAAAUGCCAUUCAUCAGACCAGGCCACCUUCUUCCAUUGCUCUGUGGUCCAGUUCUGAUGCUCACAUGCCCAUUGUAAGGUCUUUCAGCAGUGGACAGGGGUCCAAAUGGGCACCCUGACUGGUCUACGUCUAAGCAGGCCCGUAUGCAACAAACUGUGAUCCCCUGUGUGUUCUGACACCUUUCUAUCAGAACCUGAAUUAACUUUUUCAGCAGUUUGACCUACAGUAUCUCGUUUGUUGGAUUGGACCACAUGAGCCAGCCUUUGCUCCCCACGUGUUCCUUUAAUAAACAAAUCUUUUUUUGCUUUUCAUUUUAGUAUAAAUGUAGUUGGGGAGUAAUUGAUUGCAUUUAGCCAAUCACUUAAGUAAAAAAUUAAAAUCUAGAAAGUUUGCCCUGGCAGAUAGCAAUAUAUUGUCAAGAACACUUGCACAAAACACUGAAAUGGAAAGUACCCCACCAGGUGUUGAAUAUAUGUUACUACACAAUAAAACAAAGAGUGAAUGCUUUAUUAUGAACCAAUCUUUUUUUCUAUUUUUUUUUUACACAUUGCUUGUCAAAAUACUUCCACAGCAGUAGUAUUUAAAGUUAAAAUUACAUUGCUGCAGUUGAGAAAAUAUUUAUGGUCCCCAACAGGCCUCUUCAUAUUAGACACAACACAGGUGUUAACAUUAACCAUGGCUCUGUAUUCAACUGUCCUCCCCUGUGACAUGUCAAUAUCUCAUCAUUGUAUAGGUGCCCAUGUCUCCAAAAUAUUUAUCAGGUGAUAAAUAGUAAACAUUUUGUGUAUAUUCCUGUUGAACCA